GUAGGUGGCAAGCGUUGUCCGGAAUUAUUGGGCGUAAAGCGCGCGCAGGCGGUUUUUUAAGUCUGAUGUGAAAGCCCACGGCUCAACCGUGGAGGGUCAUUGGAAACUGGAGAACUUGAGUACAGAAGAGGAAAGCGGAAUUCCACGUGUAGCGGUGAAAUGCGUAGAGAUGUGGAGGAACACCAGUGGCGAAGGCGGCUUUCUGGUCUGUAACUGACGCUGAGGCGCGAAAGCGUGGGGAGCAAACAGGGAUUAGAUACCCUGGUAGUCCACGCCGUAAACGAUGAGUGCUAAGUGUUAGGGGGUUUCCGCCCCCUUAGUGCUGCAGCUAACGCAUUAAGCACUCCGCCCUGGGGAGUACGGCCGCAAGGCUG
rnacentral:rRNA from 1 species